GUAUGAGCAAAUCUGAUCGGUAAGGCAAUUCUAAUCAGACUGAAGAAACUUGGAUUCUGUUCCUGGUUAAAAAUGAAGCUCCGGUCGGAGCUACCGGAGUUGAACUCCGUUCCGAUGCAAAGCCUCGGAACAGAGCCUAGCCUUGCGGUGGAGCUUGCUGGCGGCGCGUCGGAGCUUCUUUAACUCGUCAACGACGUCGUCGGCGCUGGAAAGUUCGUCAGCGGCAGCGGAGCCUUUAGAAUCGCGCUAUUGACGCAUUUGUUCGGGGGAGAUUACGAACUUCAGAGGACUCGAAUUUCCACCCUUGGAUGCUUCCACUUCUUCUUCACGCUCCACAGAGCAGAGCCGUGGAUUUCCGAUCUUGUCACCGCUCUUCAGGCCUCGAAGCGAC
rnacentral:lncRNA from 1 species